rnacentral:rRNA from 1 species
CCUACGGGUGGCGGCAGUGGGGAAUAUUGGGCAAUGGGCGCAAGCCUGACCCAGCAACGCCGCGGGAAGGAAGAAGGCUUUCGGGUUGUAAACUUCUGGUAAGAGGGAAGAGCAGAAGACGGUACCUCUUGAAUAAGCCACGGCUAACUACGUGCCAGCAGCCGCGGUAAUACGUAGGUGGCAAGCGUUGUCCGGAUUUACUGGGUGGAAAGGGCGGGCAGCCGGGAAGACAAGUCAGAUGGGAAAUCCCGCGGCUCAACCGCGGAACUGCAUUUGAAACUGUUUUUCUUGAGUACCGGAGAGGUCCUCGGACUUCCUUGUGUAGCGGUGUCCUGCGUAGCUCUCAGG